rnacentral:rRNA from 1 species
GACGAACGCUGGCGGCGUGCUUAACACAUGCAAGUCGAACGGAAAGGCCCUGCUUUUGUGGGGUGCUCGGGUGGCGAACGGGUGAGUAACACGUGAGUAACCUGCCCUUGACUUUGGGAUAGCUUCAGGAAACUGGGGCUAAUACCGGAUCGCAUCUCCUGCUCCAGUGUGGGGGUUGGAAAUUUUCGGCGGUUGGGGAUGGACUCGCGGCUUAUCAGCUUGUUGGUGGGGUAGUGGCUUACCCAGGCUUUGACGGGUAGCCGGCCUGAGAGGGUGACCGGCCACAUUGGUACUGAGAUACGGCCCAGACUCCUACGGGAGGCAGCAGUGGGGAAUAUUGCACAGUGGGCGGAAGCCUGAUGCAGCAACGCCGCGUGCGGGAUGACGGCCUUCGGGUUGUAAACCGCUUUCGCCUGUGACGAAGCGUGAGUGACGGUAAUGGGUAAAGAAGCACCGGCUAACUACGUG